rnacentral:lncRNA from 1 species
GGAGCCACUCAUUCUAGAACUAUUCUAACUCUAGCAGCUUAAUCCUCUUAAUUUCUUAUUUCUAGCCACCAUCCAAAAUAUUAUAGCCGAAUUAAAAAAAUUUAGCCAUAGUAUACCUUAUAUAUAGAAUUAUUUGAAAUCUUGGAGCGUCACAUUCUCUUUUUCUUUAGAUUCUAACGUCCUCGUCAGACUCAAGCAUACUCAUAAUUAAAGCACUAGACGAUAUGAGACUCGUCUUGCUAGCUAGCCUUUCUCCAUUC